UAUAAACAGUUUGAGCAUUAAUUUUAAUUGAUGCUUUCUCAUCAGCUAGUGUAGCAAUUUCGUCUUCUGAAAGAUCUAAAGCUUUAUAAAUAUUAGAAUACCAAAAGUGAGGACCUCCUAAUUUCAUUGUUGGAAUUAACAUAGCAGCUACACCAAAAAUAUGAGGGAUUGGAAAAAAUAUUUUUUAAACUUUUGUUUCAUUUCAUUUAUUGCAAGUUCAUAA
rnacentral:lncRNA from 1 species